rnacentral:snRNA from 1 species
AGGUGUGAGGGUGAUCUGGGUGUGACAUAAGUCACUCAUUGAUGACCAGGGUUGAUUCUGGUCAUCAACUUGGCUGGCUUGGCUGGUGUUCCUUUCUUUCCUCACCACUCCUUGGGUCCCUCCUGAUGCUGCGCACUCAGUUGAAGAGGACGACCUUUCCCAAUAGAGGAGUAUCAUUCUUCUGUCAGGAGUAGCUGUGCUUCAGCGCUGAAACCUCCAACAAACUCUGCAGACUUUGCCUUUUAAUCUGGAUGAGAUGAAAAGUCACUGGCAGAUAAGAGCAUAGAACUGUUGUAUAUGAAAGUUUUGAAUUUUU